GGCUGCAGGCGGCUGUGGAGCUGAGCGAGUCUGGCAGUGGCCUCUACACCCCCGGGGGGUCCCUGAGCCUCCUCUGCAAGGCCUCAGGCUUCACCUUCAGCGACUAUGGCAUGGGAUGGGUGAGGCAGGCCCCAGGCAAGGGCCUGGAGUGGGUGGCAGGGAUCUGGAGCAGUGGUGGCACCAGGUACUCGCCCUCGGUGCGAGGCCGCUGCAGCCUCUCCAGGGACAACUCCCAGGCCAGCCUCAGGCUGCAGCUCAGCAGCCUCCAGGAGGCUGAUUCGGGCACCUACUACUGUGCCAAGAGUGCCUACAGUGGUGGUUAUGCUGCUGGUGCGGAUGGCAUCGAUGCCAAGCCCCUGCCCAGUGCCAACCUCCUGCCCUGA